CGCGUGUACUGGUCCGGCCGGGCCUUUCCCUCUGUGGAACCCCAUGCCCUUCACUGGGUGUGGCGGGGAAACAGGACUUUUACUGUGAAAAAAUUAGAGUGCUCCAGGCAGGCCUGUGCUCGAAUACAUUAGCAUGGAAUAAUAGAAUAGGACGUGUGGUUCUAUUUUGUUGGUUUCUAGGACCGCCGUAAUGAUUAAUAGGGACAGUCGGGGGCAUCAGUAUUCAAUUGUCAGAGGUGAAAUUCUUGGAUUUAUUGAAGACUAACUACUGCGAAAGCAUUUGCCAAGGAUGUUUUCAUUAAUCAGGAACGAAAGUUAGGGGAUCGAAGACGAUCAGAUACCGUCGUAGUCUUAACCAUAAACUAUGCCGACUAGGGAUCGGACGGUGUUAUAUUUUGACCCGUUCGGCACCUUACGAGAAAUCAAAGUGCUUGGGCUCCAGGGGGAGUAUGGUCGCAAGGCUGAAACUUAAAGAAAUUGACGGAAGGGCACCACCAGGGGUGGAGCCUGCGGCUUAAUUUGACUCAACACGGGGAAACUCACCAGGUCCAGACACAAUGAGGAUUGACAGAUUGAGAGCUCUUUCUUGAUUUUGUGGGUGGUGGUGCAUGGCCGUUCUUAGUUGGUGGAGUGAUUUGUCUGCUUAAUUGCGAUAACGAACGAGACCUUAACCUGCUAAAUAGCCCGUAUUGCUUUGGCAGUACGCUGGCUUCUUAGAGGGACUAUCGG
rnacentral:rRNA from 1 species